AUGCGGGUACCCGAUUAAAAAACCCAGCCCACCAACUUUCACACUAUAAAACACUGCCAUACCGCAGUCUAACCGAAGGUUGCGGAAGCCAAACGACUCAGAGAGGAAAUUAGGGUUAGGGUUUUUUCUAUCGUCAGUGCAUAAUCAGCUAAGCAGAGUAAUCGCGACAAUGAUUUACGACGUCAACUCACCACUCUUCCGAUCCUUCCUCAGCCAGAAGGGCGGCUCCUCCGACAAGAGGAAGUUGGAAGAGCAGAAGCCCAAGGAGAAUCGACCAAAGGCCAGUGAGAAUAAGCCUGUUAUGAAUGAGUGACAACAGAUUGAUAUAUUAAGCUAUGGUUUGGUUUAGGAUCCUUUGUGAUGUUAAGUAGAUGAGUACUAUGUGUUUAAGACAAGCUUAUCGCUAUGUAUUGGCUUUUCAGUAACUUCGUGAGCUACGAUUUACCGUCCUAAUGUACUUUUGACCGUCGGAAUUAUAAUUUACACUUGUUUGUUUUGAAAUGAUGUUGUCGAGCCUUAUGUUGACUGCCUUGUCCUGCAUUUGUGCUUUUGUUAUCUUGGUUGAGAAUGUAACUGGAUUUAUAAAGGAUGUAGGUCUUAACUACAUCGGUUGUUGUGGUAUCUCAAACCAAUAAUGUGAUUGAUUUGAAAUACUGCCACAAUGGUGUACACCAUUGGUUUGAGAACAUACGUUUAUAAGAAUCGAAUGGUGUAUGUUUAUUU
rnacentral:sRNA from 1 species